GACGAACGCUGGCGGCGUGCUUAACACAUGCAAGUCGAACGGUGAAGCGCCUUCCUUUUUGGUGGGUGUGGAUGAGUGGCGAACGGGUGAGUAACACGUGAGUAACCUGCCCCCUUCUUCUGGAUAACCGCAUGAAAGUGUGGCUAAUACGGGAUAUUCUGGGUCUGUCGCAUGAUGGGUCUGGGAAAGAUAUUGUUUCGGUGGGGGAUGGGCUCGCGGCCUAUCAGCUUGUUGGUGGGGUGAUGGCCUACCAAGGCGGUGACGGGUAGCCGGCCUGAGAGGGUGGACGGUCACACUGGGACUGAGCCACGGCCCAGACUACUACGGGAGGCAGCAGUGGGGAAUAUUGCACAAUGGGCGCAAGCCUGAUGCAGCGACGCCGCGUGAGGGAUGGAGGCCUUCGGGUUGUGAACCUCUUUCGCCAGUGAAGCAGGCCUGCCUCGUUUGUGGGUGGGUUGACGGUAGCUGGAUAAGAAGCGCCGGCUAACUACGUG
rnacentral:rRNA from 1 species